rnacentral:rRNA from 1 species
UACGGAGGGUGCGAGCGUUAAUCGGAAUUACUGGGCGUAAAGCGCACGUAGGCGGUUUGUUAAGUCGGAUGUGAAAUCCCUGGGCUCAACCUGGGUGCUGCAUUCGAUACUGGCAGACUUGAAUACGGUAGAGGGGGGUGGAAUUCCAGGUGUAGCGGUGAAAUGCGUAGAGAUCUGGAGGAACACCAGUGGCGAAGGCGGCCCCCUGGACCGAUAUUGACGCUGAGGUGCGAAAGCGUGGGGAGCAAACAGG